rnacentral:rRNA from 1 species
GAUGAACGCUGGCGGCGUGCUUAACACAUGCAAGUCGAACGGAGCUUACAUGAUAGAGGAUUCGUCCAAUUGACUGUAAGCUUAGUGGCGGACGGGUGAGUAACGCGUGAGUAACCUGCCUUGGAGUGGGGAAUAACACAGAGAAAUUUGUGCUAAUACCGCAUAAUGCAGUUGGGUCGCAUGGCUCUGACUGCCAAAGAUUUAUCGCUCUUAGAUGGACUCGCGUCUGAUUAGCUAGUUGGCGGGUAAACGGCCCACCCAAGGACGACGAAUCAGUAGCCGGACUGAGAGGAUGAACGG